CAAAGCUGUUUUAAUAAAGCCCAUCUACGUCGACUGGAGCAGAGAGUCUCCUGUCUUAGCAGUGGAUCUAGUUGUGGCUUGGUGCUGGGGCUGCCUCACACGAUGAUCUGGGGGAUGAGUAGCAGAACAGCCCAGUCAAACAGGCUUUCCCAAUGAUGCAGG
rnacentral:lncRNA from 1 species